rnacentral:sRNA from 1 species
GUAGUGGGUGAGGGACCCAGGUUCCUGACACAGACAGACUACACCCAGGGAAUGAAGAGCAAGCGCCAUGUUGAAGCCAUCAUUACCAUUCACAUCCCUCUUAUUCCUGCAGCUGCCCCUGCUGGGAGUGGGGCUGAACACGACAAUUCUGACGCCCAAUGGGAAUGAAGACACCACAGCUGAUUUCUUCCUGACCUCUAUGCCCACUGACUCCCUCAGUGUUUCCACUCUGCCCCUCCCAGAGGUUCAGUGUUUUGUGUUCAAUGUCGAGUACAUGAAUUGCACUUGGAACAGCAGCUCUGAGCCCCAGCCUACCAACCUCACUCUGCAUUAUUGGUACAAGAACUCGGAUAAUGAUAAAGUCCAGAAGUGCAGCCACUAUCUAUUCUCUGAAGAAAUCACUUCUGGCUGUCAGUUGCAAAAAAAGGAGAUCCACCUCUACCAAACAUUUGUUGUUCAGCUCCAGGACCCACGGGAACCCAGGAGACAGGCCACACAGAUGCUAAAACUGCAGAAUCUGG